ACGAACCGUGCGAACGUUAUUCGGAAUUACUGGGCUUAAAGCGCGUGUAGGCGGGACGGCACGUCCGUCGUUGAAAGCCCCCGGCUCAACCGGGGAAUCGGCGCGGAUACGACCGUCCUUGAGGGGCGUAGGGGGACAGGGAACUUCCGGUGGAGCGGUGAAAUGCGUUGAGAUCGGAAGGAACACCCGUGGCGAAAGCGCUGUCCUGGACGCCUGACUGACGCUGAGACGCGAAAGCUAGGGGAGCAAACGGGAUUAGAUACCCCGGUAGUCCUAGCCGUAAACCAUGGGCACUGGGUAGGGGGCUCGCCGAUGGGCUCCCUGCCGCAGCGAAAGCGUGAAGUGCCCCGCCUGGGGAGUAUGGUCGCAAGGCUG
rnacentral:rRNA from 1 species